CCCUUAGAUGUUCUGGGCCGCACGCGCGCUACACUGAUUCAUGCAACAAGUUUUGUCCUUGGCUGAUAGGCCUGGGUAAUCUUUGAACGUGAAUCGUGAUGGGGAUAGAUGAUUGCAAUUAUCCAUCUUCAACGAGGAAUUCCUAGUAAACGCAAGUCAUCAGCUUGCAUUGAUUACGUCCCUGCCCUUUGUACACACCGCCCGUCGCACCUACCGAUUGAAUGGUCCGGUGAAAUCUUCGGAUCUGAGAGAUGUCUGAUUAAUUUCGGACGCCUUUUGGAAAAGUUGUUUAAACCUUACCAUUUAGAGGAAGGUGAAGUCGUAACA
rnacentral:rRNA from 1 species